rnacentral:lncRNA from 1 species
UUGGCUCUUGUCCUCCACAUCUCGUGAUUAAUAAGUGUACCUAAAUGAUUUGCAUAAUGUACAUGAAUGCAUAUAAACAAGAAUAGCACAAAUCUAAAUAGUGCUACACGAUAACUAAUUAAACACCUAGUGAAGAAGCAUCGUACCAUUUCAUACGAAAGCACUAGUUACUGACAUAUGACUACGCGCAAUAAUCACAAAAUAAUAAACUAUACAUACUAAUUACAGCAAGCGCAUUUCUCUUGUUCAAUCACAUCUAAUUUUAUUAUCAAGCAAGAAUAAAUUAUAAACACACACUAUCAAUUUUAGUAAAAUAUAUUUCGGAGGUCUAGUAAAACCUCGACUCGUUAUUAUUAAAUGCCAACAACUUAAAAUAGUUAUAGAAACAAUCUAAUUAACUCUUUAAACUGUGUAUCUUAAUUAACUUGAUUUACCGAUUUAUCUAAAUCGAACAUCACAAUAUACGUAUGCUAAAUUAAUAACAAUUAUCGCGACCAACAAUUCUAUUUAAUUUAUUUAUAUACCUAGUUGACUGGAAUAACAAAUCAACUUACCAUCAAUUAAAUCUGACUUGAAAUCAUGAAAUCGACGACGCCUUUCAGCUCAGCAUUUCACCAAAAAUAGGGUGAGUGCUGCGUCGAAUCGCGCUUCAUCUUCAUCCACAUCGAGAAUUCUCCGGUCGCGUACUGAUUUAUUUCCUUCUACGCGUAAUCUUUGUGGAUCUUGGGCGUAGAUGAGGAUGGCGAUCGACGACUUGUUCGAGCUUUUGUCGAGCACUUUGUCAAGCUUUGUCUUCACCCGAUUCUUGGGAUUUCUUGAUGACGCACGGAACGACGACGAGAUCGAGUCAGGAGCGAGCUGGUGAGGUGUGGUCGAGCAGGUUAACGCGAGCUCUGGCUAGAACAUGAAUACAGUGAGGACUUUGACGACAGCGAGGUUACGAGCUCUAGCGACACAGGGUCAAGCGGCGAACGCAUUCGGCGUGCAUACAUGAGCCGAACCGAAGGCGAGGAAUCGAUGAAGCGAGGUUCGUUGACAAGCAUCAUGGAGGAAUUAGCGACGUUGCUGCACACACGACGCGAUGACGAACGACACGACGAUGGGCUGGGAGAGAGCGCGGACUGAGGAAGGACUCGGUGAGCAUCGACGCG